ensembl:lncRNA
UGACAGAAGAGCUGGGGUUAGGGGCAAUCAAUAAGAUCGGGAUAAGCGUUUUGAUGUAUUCAUGUAGGAUUUUUUUCUUCCUCCUUGUAUUGAUAAUUUUUCCAUUCCUUCAAAGAGUGUGGUCUCCCUAUCUCUGGGCAGGGCUGCAGCAGUAAACAGAAGUCACCCACAAAAUACAAACUCCCUUCCUGGAGUGCUGAUUUAAGGCCCCAAGAUAGAGAAGAUUUCCUGGAGGAGACAAAAAUAUCUGGGAGGAAGGGGAAGGCAGAUGGGCCUGGGAGGACCGGGAGGUCAGGGGUCCUAGGAGCAGCGCAGACAGGACCUGACUCUCUGGAAGACCUGGAAACCUCACAUGUGACCCCUGAUGGGUUGGCUGAAGAGUGUGUCUUGGUAGAGGGCUAGCUGAGAUGGAAUUUGCAACUUGAAAGACCAGGGGGCAUGGUUGUGGACGUCUCAGCGGUAACCACAUGGGCAUAUAUCCAGUGAGAGACAGCUCAGCACAGCCUAAGAUGUGAGGACUGAAAUCAACCCUGGGGUGGGAUAGGGGAGCAAGGAACUCAUCUCUAAGAAGAGCUGGAGUUAAGCUCCCCCCAGUUUAGCAGGUUUGGCCACGUGAUGCAAAGAGCCAACUUGUUGGAAAAAACCCUGAUGUUUGGGAAGAUUGAAGGCAGGAGAAGAAGGGGAAAGAGAAUGAGAUGGUUGGAUGGCAUCAUCGACUCAAUGGACAUGCUGGGAAAGCAGGCUCCCAUAGCAGCCCCGGUGAGAGAUAAGGGCUCUUUGCCUGAAAUGAAAAAUUCAUGAAGGAAGACUAGGGAUCAGGCACUAGGAGAGCCGCCAAGUUGCUGUGCUCUAGGGACGUGGCAAGAAGCUGGAAAAGCCAAAUGGAAAUUUUCUUUCCUCUCCAGCACCUCCCUCAGGCUCCCCUUCCGUGUUCAGCGGGGCUCCUUUCGCCCCUGUAGCCACCCACACCUCCGCAGUCUCAUUUGAGACUCCAGGCCAGCACCGGCAAUGCCCAUGUGCCAGGGCAUUCAGGAAGAGGGAUACUGCUCUGUACCCAGACCGGGCAUCCACCACCAGCCUCAGUAAAAUGUGUACUAUUGCUAGAGCAAGCUGGCACAGUCCUGACCACCUGCCAACCCCAAAACUGGAGAAGCCCCAAACUGGCUAUUAUUUGCCCCUAGAGGUACCCCUGUCUCCAGAUGACUUCCAAUUCCAAUUCCCUGACCCACAAAUCUAACCAAAAUUCAUAAGAUUGAUCAGAUGAUCGUACUUACAACUUGAAGAGGAAACCUUGAAUCUGUUGUCACCACGCUGGGCAGGCAAUGGUUUAUAGAGCUAUUAAAGUGGAGACUUCCUGGUGGUGCACUGGCUAAGACUACUCCCAAUGCACUGGACCCGGGUUUGAUCCCUGGUCAGUGACCUAGAUCCCACAUGCCACAACCAAGAGUUUGCAAGCUACAACUAAAGAUGUGCUGUAACUAAAACCUGGUGAAGCC